rnacentral:rRNA from 1 species
UACGAAGGGUGCAAGCGUUGCUCGGAAUUAUUGGGUGUAAAGGGUAGGUAGGUGGUUAUAUUCGUCUUAUGGUGAAAUCCCUAAGCUUAACUUAGGACGUGCCUAAGAAACGGUAUAACUAGAGUGCUAGAGAGGUUUGUGGAAUUCCUGGUGUAGCGGUGAAAUGCGUAGAGAUCAGGAGGAACAUCAGCGGCGAAGGCGGCAAACUGGAUAGCAACUGACACUCAACUACGAAAGCGUGGGGAGCAAACAGG